GGGCAUGUCGUGGCCUCAGGGCUGCGGUGGCUCCCUUUCCCUGCUGUAGGGACUGUGGACAGUACAGACAUGCAACAUCAAACCAAGCGGAGUUAACAGGGCCACCAGUCUCUCGAGAACAGACUGAGUCGGUAGUAUUAUACUCCCACAUCA